rnacentral:tRNA from 1 species
GCCCUGAUGGUCUAGCGGUAUGAUUCUCCCUUAGGGUUGCGAAUAGCUUCUCAGCAUGGGAGAGGUCCCAGGUUCGAUCCCUGGUUAGGGCC